rfam:Megaselia scalaris, Durham, NC isolate 2 -- Noor lab, WGS project CAQQ02000000 data, contig: ctg0000324106
AUACUUACCUGGCUUAGGGGUUAACCGUGAUCACGAAGGCGGUUCCCCCAGGGCGAGACUUGGCCAUUGCACUAGGGCUAGGUUGACCUCUGCGAUUAUUCCUAAUGUGAAUAACUCGUUAGCGCAAUUUUUGUUAGCCGGGAAUGGCGUUCGCGCCGUCCCGAU